CAGAUACGAGAUGUUCUCUUCGAUUUGCACGCAGCAACUCAACGGUACGGCCAUUCCGCGCGGACCCAGCCUCCUCAGUUGCCAUACGGACAUGUCGUAGUUUCGAGCAUCUGUCAUACCGCAACACUGCAACUGUUAAAGCAUUUACUUCAUGUUUAAUUCAAGACGCAGUGAAUUGUUCAAAGUCGGGCAUAGCAUAAUAGCUUUGCAGAGCUCCGACAGAGCCCCCUCGUGCGUUUUCAAGUCCCAGACAUCGCGGCCAUACUGCAGCUAACACGCCUCCAGCACACUCGCACAAUAGCAAAGACAGAACUAUUAAGAAGUACUGAAAUAAGAAGGAUUUUUAUUAGAGUAGUGACUAGCAGAGUAGAGUAGUGUUUAAAUUUAAUAUAAAUUGUAUGCAUCGCAUUAUUUAUGAAAUACAAUCAUUUGUUAAAA